ensembl:lncRNA
UCCAGGGUUGGGACAUCCACAGCCUCACUGGGCAACCUGUUCCACUGUCCCUUUUUAUUUCUUGCUUAUACUGAAAUGAUCAAAAAUGGCUUUUAAAAACAAAACAUAUAGAUAUUUUUGAGCAACAUCAUGUUCCUGGAGAGAAUGGCAUUGCAGCAAAGCUGUCUGUCCAGCUGCACCUGCAGGUCCCUUUGCACCCAGCACCCCUCCUCCUGGGAGUCCUCCUGGGCACAGCUCAUGUCACAUAGAUGCCAAGUAUGGAGUGACAGCACGUCACUGCCUGACUGACAGGCAGCCUGGCACUUAGCAGCUCAAAGAAAUACGGGGAUGCAGCAAGUGGCAUGCUGGAUGAGAGCUGACAUCCAGCUAACCCAGUGCACCGUCUGCAGCAGCUUGGCAGGGAAACCAAGGAACAGGCACAGAGCUGCUGCUGUCAGGGCUGAGGGUGACGUCCCACAGUUGUUUGUGCAGAUACACGGAGGAUCAGGUCAGUUCGUGUAGGGAACAACACGGGAACAGGGGUGGAAACAACAAGCUUGUCAAGCUCUGUGAUUAUUAGCAACAAGAAGCACAUUUCUAGCUCCUCAAUUUUGGAGACAUACCUGACAUGUUGCUAUUAGCAUCACUCACUUCUAUUGUGCCUGGGCUCCUUUGUGCUUGGGGCCAUCCAGAAGGAGAAAACAAAUCCUUGCAUCAAAGCCACCUUGGGUGAGGGCCAGCAGGGCUGUGGGGACUCAGCUUGGCUGCCUCUGCCCGUUCUGCAUCAAAGCCCAAACCCUUCUAUUCUGAUACCUUGCUCUCAGCUCUGCCUCGUAGUCCAGCUAGAGAAGAUAUACACACGUGCAUCAGGCCAAUGCUAACCUAUCUGUUGGUCUGAGAGUUCAGCCAGGCAAAGGCACCCACAUUGCAGAGGCAGCAGGGAGGAGCCAGCCUGAGUCAGCAUCUCCAGACUGAUGGUCACACUUCUGCCCAGAGACAGGGGAGCUCUGACAGCUGCCAGGAAAACCAAAGGUCCCAACCUGUCACAGCAUUGCCUCCUCCCCAUCCAGACUCUGAUGUUAUUUGAAUGGAAAUGAAACAGAGCAAUUUAAAUUAAGCACAGCAGCAGUAAAAUAAUAAUAACAGAUGCCCUUCCACCUCUGCAGCCCAAAGCCUUACCCAUGCAGGAGGAGGUUUCCCUACCUGUGCAAUGGCUGAAUGUGAUUAAUCACCCAAGUUUUCUUGGUUAAGAUACAAGAAGUCUGUCCAGAUAGGGAUUUUAAUGGAAACUAUCCUUGUUUGAAGGCAAGGAACUACUUUAAGCCAAACAAACGGAAAUAAAA